rnacentral:snRNA from 1 species
GGAUUUGAGGGCAAUCUGACUGCAACAUCUGUCACCCCAUUGAUCGCUAGGCUUGAUUUGGCUGAUCUGGCUGUCUAGGCUGGUAUCCCCUUCUUCACUCACCACUUGGUGUGUGGCCUUCCUAGUGCUGUGUGCUCACUCAGAGAUGAUGACCUUCCCCAAAUAGAGAUGGACUGGUCUUCAGUCGAAGGUAUACAGGC